rnacentral:rRNA from 1 species
UGAACCUGCGGAGGGAUCAUUACCGAGUUUACAACUCCCAAACCCAAUGUGAACGUUACCAAACUGUUGCCUCGGCGGGAUCUCUGCCCCGGGUGCGUCGCAGCCCCGGACCAAGGCGCCCGCCGGAGGACCAACCAAAACUCUUAUUGUAUACCCCCUCGCGGGUUUUUUUAUAAUCUGAGCCUUCUCGGCGCCUCUCGUAGGCGUUUCGAAAAUGAAUCAAAACUUUCAACAACGGAUCUCUUGGUUCUGGCAUCGAUGAAGAACGCAGCGAAAUGCGAUAAGUAAUGUGAAUUGCAGAAUUCAGUGAAUCAUCGAAUCUUUGAACGCACAUUGCGCCCGCCAGUAUUCUGGCGGGCAUGCCUGUCCGAGCGUCAUUUCAACCCUCGAACCCCUCCGGGGGGUCGGCGUUGGGGAUCGGCCCUGCCUUGGCGGUGGCCGUCUCCGAAAUACAGUGGCGGUCUCGCCGCAGCCUCUCCUGCGCAGUAGUUUGCACACUCGCAUCGGGAGCGCGGCGCGUCCACAGCCGUUAAACACCCAACUUCUGAAAUGUUGACCUCGGAUCAGGUAGGAAUACCCGCUGAACUUAAGCAUAUCAAUAGGCGG